rnacentral:rRNA from 1 species
CGUAGUCAACCUGCCCUGGAGACAAGGACAGCCCCGGGAAACUGGGAUUAAUCCUUGAUAGGUCAUCUCAUCUGGAAGGAGAGAUGGCUUAAAGGGGUACGCGGGCUUCUUCCGCGAAUUCGCUCCAGGAUGGGACUGCGUCCGAUCAGGCUGUUGGCGGGGUAAUGGCCCACCAAACCUGUAACCGGUACGGGCCUUGAGAGAGGUGGCCCGGAGAUGGACACUGAGAGAAGGGUCCAGGUCCUACGGGGCGCAGCAGGCGCGAAACCUUCGCAAUGCGCGAAAGCGUGACGAGGUUAAUCCGAGUGACUUCCGCUGAGGAGGUCUUUUGUCAGCUGUAAAUAGGCAGGCGAAUAAGGGGAGGGCAAGCCUGGUGUCAGCCGCCGCGGUAAUACCAGCUCCUCGAGUGGUCGGGGCGAUUAUUGGGCCUAAAGCAUCCGUAGCCGGUUCCGUAGGUCCUCUGUUAAAUCCGACUGCUUAACAGUUGACCUGCAGAGGAUACCGCGGGACUAGGAGGCGGGAGAGGCGGACGGUACUCCGCGUGUAGGGGUAAAAUCCUUUGAUCCGCGGAAGACCACCAGUGGCGAAGGCGGUCCGCCAGAACGCGCUCGACGGUGAGGGAUGAAAGCUGGGGGAGCGAACCGGAUUAGAUACCCGGGUAGUCCCAGCCGU